UACCAGCACCCCGAGUGGUCGGGACGUUUAUUGGGCCUAAAGCAUCCGUAGCCGGUUCUACGAGUCUUCCGUUAAAUCCAGCUGCUUAACAGGUGGGCUGCGGAAGAUACUAUAGAGCUAGGAGGCGGGAGAGGCAAGCGGUACUCGAUGGGUAGGGGUAAAAUCCGUUGAUCCAUUGAAGACCACCAGUGGCGAAGGCGGCUUGCCAGAACGCGCUCGACGGUGAGGGAUGAAAGCUGGGGGAGCAAACCGG
rnacentral:rRNA from 1 species